GAUGAACGCUGGCGGCGUGCCUAAUACAUGCAAGUCGAGCGAAGCGGGGACGGUUGAGUAACACGUGGAAACCCUCCUAUAAGAACGGGAUAGAUGCGGGUAACCGGAGCUAAACAGGAUACUUAGAGAUGGAUCCGCGCUGGAUUCGCUAGUUGGUAAGGUAACGGCUUACCAAGGCAACGAUGCAUAGCCGACCUGAGAGGGGGAUCGGCCACACUGGAACUGAGACACGGUCCAGACUCCUACGGGAGGCAGCAGUAGGGAAUCUUCCGCAAUGGGCGAAAGCCUGACGGAGCAACGCCGCGUGAGUGAGGAAGGUUUUCGGAUCGUAAAACUCUGUUGUUAGGGAAGCGGUACCUAAUCAGAAAGCCACGGCUAACUACGUGCCAGCAGCCGCGGUAAUUC
rnacentral:rRNA from 1 species